CCUAAAUGAACAGCAAUAAUAUGUAUUAUUGUAGAUUUUCGAGAUUAGAUUGAGGCCGGUGGCCCAAAUUGAGCUGAGGUCCGUAUGGUUGCCAACGCUUAGAGUUGUAGGAUGGACCUGUAUAAGAGGUUCUCUUAUCGAAGUAUUUUUGGCAGGGGAUCUGAAUCUGAGAUUCAUAGAUUCAAUGGUUUAAGCCUAAAAGAAGAGAUGAGUUAUAGUACCAAUGGUCAAAAAAAAUUAUGAAAAAUAACGUAUCGAUUGAAUAUGGAGCCCAACUAAAUGGGCUUGAGCACUAAAUAGAUCAAUGAGUUCAUUACAAGUC
rnacentral:lncRNA from 1 species